ensembl:lncRNA
AGCUAAACAAUCUGUUCCAUGUCUCACUGAAAUCACUGGUUUUGCAUGUGGAAGGAUGUGCUGGUGGUACAAAAUGAGAGAAUGCUCUGGCAUCAAUCCAUUUCAUCCAUUCUUGAAUGAUUUCCUUCUCAAAGGGCUUCUAAUGCAGCUGUUCUUUCAAAGGAAUAGUCAAACCCUGUUGUGUUGCAGAGGUCAGGCUGAAGAGGAUUUUUUUUUCACUUUAGCUCCUAUGCAUUACAGCACAAAUAAGUCCUGAUUUAUUUGGGCAUUGCAGCUCUCUUACACCUUCUUUCUAAAUGUGCACCCUGUGAAAGUGUUGCUGUUUGGCAGAUUUCACUUCACAUGAGCUGUCAUUGAUAUCUUUAUCCUUUCAAUCUUGUCACAUUCAGUUAAUUGAAUACAGAUAUAAAUUUAAACAAAGACCAAAGAGAUUAAUAACUUCUGAGCUUGUUUGAAGGGUGUCAUAGAAAUUGAGUCAAGAAUCAAAUAGAGAAAGCCAAGAAUGGUGAAGCAACUGGAACAUCUGUGUAUUCAGUAGGCCUUUCAAGCAUAGAUGCAGGCAAAGGCCUCAAACUCCAACUACAUAAGUAUUUCAUAAUAACAUAAUUUGAAGAAAUUGCAGCAAGUGAAAAGUCAGGUUAUCAAUUUGAAUGGUUUUGUAAAUAGUAUCUUUACUAAAGAUACAUCACACUAAACCAGUCCAAAUACCCCCAAAUACUGCAAUAUUAGCAUUCCAAACAUUGAUUUAAUACUGUAAUUUUCUUGCACUGCUAGCAGAAAUACUUCCCUAAAUAUCAUCUAACAGCCCAAACCGAAUAACUGUGAGUUCCUUUUAACUGUGUGAGACAUACAAUGCUUUGGUUUUUCUCUGGCAGGCUAAAUGUUAGACAGACAUAAAAAAGUCUCACUGUGUAAGACUUGUCUCAAGUUAUUUGGUUUAAUAUGAACAUUUUUCAUGUAUCAUAAACCUGUCAUAAUAUUUUGAAAAUUUUGCAAUUUUUGGGUUGGGUUUGGGUUUUUUUUAGUAAAUGGCAUUUUUAUUUAGAGGCAAUAUAAAAAUAACUAUGGUUUGAAAUUGUUUUGAUUCAACAUUUGCCUGUGUGUAACUCAAAAAUGGUCUGUUCUUUUAUGAAGCUUUCCAUACACAUUUUUGGUUUUGCAGACAAUUUUGUCAGUUGAGGAGAAGGUUUUAGUUGAGUUGAACUAUGAAUCUAUUCUGUUUGUGUGUAUCUUGUCCUUGCAUCUUGCUGUUACAGACUUCAAAGGUGGAUGGAUUUCCUUUCUGGAUGUUUCUGCAUCAGGUGCUGCACAAGAACCCUGCAUUUUCCAGGUUGCUGGUUAUAGGUGUUUGUACUCUGUGUGGCACAAACUGCUGUUCUAUGGCAACUAAAGGAUGUUGAGAGUGUUUUUCAUGCUCCAAUGGGAACUGCAGAGCUGAUCAUUAUUUCACAGCCUGCUGAAUAUUAUUUUCACAGGGUGUUUAUUUGAGUGUGCGCUUGUGCUUAUCUAAAACCACUUGCUAUCACUGAUGAAGGAAUAGAAUUUGAGUGAGAUGUGACAGUAAGGACUGAGCCUCUGGAAAAUUUGCAGCACCAUAUUUGGUCUGACAAUGUACUGCAUUCCCAUCCAUCAGACUACAAUGAUUGGAAUUCCACCACAGUUCCACAGUGAGUGGAAUUCCACUUCUCUUUUUUAAGCUACUCUGCAAAUGAAAUUAAACCCUGUGCACUACAUGGAGGUGUUCAGGACUAGCAAGGUUACAAUCCAGGACAGCAGUGACUGGUAAUUCCAGUUUAGUUUGGAAUACAUAGAAUGCUCAAACUGCAAUUGCACAGCCUGCUGGCCUCCUCCCACGCCUCCAUGCAUUUUCUUUACUCACCACUGUUUGGAUUCUGUAGUGACGAGCUCUUACUACACUUGGAUUUGGCAAUCUUUUCAGAACAGAUUUUAAGGCAAAAUUGGGCACGAAGCCCCAUGGUAGCUAACUGGCCUGAAUUCUAGCAGUGCUGAGUGCAUGCAGCUUCUGCUCUGGUAAAGAGAGUUGCAUGUACUUAUGUCAGCAAUGCAUUUUUGCAGUAUCUCAGCAAAUGUCAGUCAUAGCUGAGCUUUCAUGCUUCUGCUGCACAUAAUGCCCUGACACCAAAACAUAGACGAAGGGAUGGAAAAAGCCAGUUAUCCUGUGUAUGUAUUUAAUAAGCUGUCUAGUCUAGUAGUUAAUAUGAAGCUAACGAGAUGUGAUUGUAUGUUCUGAAGCAAGGCUGUUUGUCCAUACAUUUGCAUCCUUGGUUUAAUCACAUUGUAUGUGGUUUCAGAGGCAAGUCCAAGGAAUGUGGAAGCAAUGUUGACCGUUGUAUGCAAUGUAUACCAUGACUUCAGCUAUUGCUUUACAGUCCAUCACACUUGGUCAGAGUUGCAGAAGUAACGUGCUUCUUCAGUAGAUCAAAGUGGAGGCACUGACAGAAGGUGGAAUUUCAUCCUGUGAAUGCUUGAGCUGCUGUUUUAAAAACACAAUACCACAAUAGGCACUCGGUGAUGCAGCACAAGGAUUCAGGGAACUGAAGGGGAGUUGUGGGCAGUGAUCUCCCAAUGACAUUGUCUAAGCUUAGUCUAUCUUAAAUUCUUUUUACCAUUCAGAUAACAAUAGAAGAAACAAAAGAAGUUGUGAGCUGUAGUAAUACUGGACUGAUCCAAUCAUCCCCCUUAUUUUCUUACAGGAGGGGAACAAGACAGCACCGCAUGUCCAGCCAGAGAAGGUGCUUGCUAAGGUUGCUGUUGCCAGAACACUUGGGACAGUUUGUGAGGGAGCCAUACAAGGCAAUUCAAGAGCACAUCACCACUGUGAUCACAGGGACUUGACCACAGGCCUUACUCUUCAGCCAAAGAAUGGAAUCAGCCUGGGCCCACAAAGGCAAGAGCAAGGCUAUGAUCUGGCCAGUUUAUAUUUAAAAGAAUUGUGAGAGAAAACAAAGGACAUUGGCAAAGGAAUGGGGAGUCACUGGACUCCAUUUUAGUUGACUGUCAUUUCACUUUGCAACUAUCAAUGAUUUAUGCAGAGAAGAACAGUAACAGCCUAGCAAUGCUCACCUCUUAAUCACACUGUGUAGACAGAAAAUAGGGAGUAAAUUAACCUGUUGGAAGCAAAAACUUAAUG